CAGGCACACAGGGCAGGCGCAUGGGGCAGGGAGAAGCCAUGGAUCCAGGUGAGAGAGUGCAGUGACAAAGCAAGUGGAGUUAUUUCGUACUAAUGUUAAGUGGUUAGGAACAAACAAAACUGAGACUCUUGGGCCAGGGUGCUGCAGCGAGGUGCUUGUGGCCUUAGGUUGUUGGAGAGCAGAGGCAAGCCCGCUCCAGGACCUCCAUGCUCCGCCUCCUUUCUGCCUUGACCCCUCACCACUGCGAUAGCAAUGAGCUUUCCGCUUUAAAGAGCUUGGGGCUUUGAUGGCAAACAGACUGAAUUUGAACCCUGGCUUGACCAGACCAUUUACUACAUUAGUCUGGGUUGAAAUGACCAGGAAGGGUUUUACAGAAUGAUUCCCCUAAGCAAACAUCCCAGAGAGAAGAAAAGCAAAAGACACACAGCUAAAUGGACAACAGUUCCCAGCCUCGUCACAGGAGAACUCUUUGGAGCCAA
rnacentral:lncRNA from 1 species